GGCGAACGCUGGCGGCAGGCCUAACACAUGCAAGUCGAACGGACCCUUCGGGGUUAGUGGCGGACGGGUGAGUAACACGUGGGAACGUGCCUUUAGGGUCGGAAUAGCUCCUGGAAACGGGUGGUAAUGCCGAAUGUGCCCUUCGGGGGAAAGAUUUAUCGCCUUUAGAGCGGCCCGCGUCUGAUUAGCUAGUUGGUGAGGUAAUGGCUCACCAAGGCGACGAUCAGUAGCUGGUCUGAGAGGAUGACCAGCCACAUUGGGACUGAGACACGGCCCAAACUCCUACGGGAGGCAGCAGUGGGGAACCUUGCGCAAUGGGCGAAAGCCUGACGCAGCCAUGCCGCGUGGAUGAUGAAGGUCUUAGGAUUGUAAAAUCCUUUCACCGGUGAAGAUAAUGACUGUAGCCGGAGAAGAAGCCCCGGCUAACUUCGUGCCAGCCGCCGCAGUAAUAC
rnacentral:rRNA from 1 species